GAAAUGUACGAGUGUGGGGGUGAUGAGUAGUGCGGCGGAUUUUGACACCAAUGCGAGGUCUGACCGACUGAUGGCGAGGAAAUAAAUAAUAGGAUGUUCGGGAGAACGACGGAUGCGACGUACGCCAACACAUGACUUUUAAGAACAAGGAAAGAAAAAUUAAAUAAAAUGUAAAGCACAAUGAACGAGAACAGCUUCGACUUGUUCCGCUCUUUCCAACAACCUCUACUUUCGUGAGCGAGAUAAGACAUUUUACUGCCUUCAGAAACAACAGAAAACGUUCGUGUGACUCACUGGGAGUUUUCCUUGAAAUAAAAUAAAAACAAACAGGAGGGCACACUCUUAGAGAAAGUCCGGCUCAGUCUUCCUUCUUUUUUUGUUUCAGAUCACCGUCCUCUAACAUCACCACUGGUUGCGUGUGUGUCACAACAAACACGACAUCCACGUAUAAUAAGUGUGUGUGUGUGUCCGCGCCAACAACAACAGUUCGUGGCGCGAACGAAUAAAUAAAUAGCGGGAACGCAAAAAGAAUAAUAAAACAGUAAACGACUGUAAACAGAGGAUACACCAUUCGAGUAAAAAACAGAAGCGGUCGACAGGAGAAAUAAAAAAAGCGUCGCGGGCAGAUCGCCGGCGCAGGAAGACCUCAGCAUGCACGCUUUGAGAAAGGGAAAGCAUCCACCAUGCUAUCCCGGACCAGCCGGGAAUGCCAUGGGGUUCAGUACACUCUAAGAAAAAGAAAGACAGCAGCAGCCGCAGCGAAGCUGGAAAACUGCGGGAAGGGAAGUUGGCGAACGGAGUCACACUUUGUAAGAAAGACACCCCAAGAUGACAUUGGCUAAGUGUCCCUGCUUCUAUGUACAGAACGAAAGCAAUCACCAGAGAACACACGCCC
rnacentral:lncRNA from 1 species